AUACCAAGAUGUUUUAAGGUCCUAAAGUAAAAUUAUACCAAGUAAAGAGCAAAACCUGGGAGUUUACCUGAGGUCGAUCUACGUAGUCAAAGUGCUGGGGUCAGUACAAUUUGUGGCAAGAGAAGCAUGCCAAUUAAGUGAGUUCGGUUCAAGAGCAAAAGCUUCAGAGGAAGCAUAAAUGAGUUGAAGGUGAAAGUAGAUUGCAAAAUGUUACUUGAUCUGUUUCUAUAGCUGCAGUCCUUAGGCUGAUGGACAAGAAUCCUGGAAGGUAGCAAAGAGUGUAGCAGGAAAGAGGAUGAAGUACCAUGGAAGAGCAAGAUUAAGCCUUUUGUUGUAAAAGAAAAAAAAAAAGAUUAAGCCUUUUGUUGUAAAAAAAAAAAAAGAUUAAGCCUUUCACAUGCCACAAUCACUAAAAAGCUACCUUGCUUAAUGACCAGUAGCUCCCAGUACAAAUGUUUGUUUCAACAUUCAAAUCCACAAGCAUCCCAACAUGGACAAUGUAAGGACUGAAAAAUGUGAGUGAAUGAUUUGAAAGGCCACAGCAACUCUGAAAAUAUGCAUCCUAAGUGAACUUUAACAUUAGUCAAAUCGUCAAAUGAUUUUAUGUAAGC
rnacentral:lncRNA from 1 species